CGGUGUUUAACUGGCGUGAUGUGGGACGUCCUACCGGUGGGCUUAGCCUCGCGAGGGGCGGCCCAACUAAUAUCCCGUCGCGGUGCUCUUUACUGAGUGUCGAGUCGGGCCGGUACGUUUACUUUGAACAAAUUAGAGUGCUUAAAGCAGGCUAUCCUCGCCUGAAUACUGCGUGCAUGGAAUAAUGGAAUAGGACCUCGGUUCUAUUUUGUUGGUUUUCGGAACCCCGAGGUAAUGAUUAAUAGGGACAGAUGGGGGCAUUCGUAUUGCGACGUUAGAGGUGAAAUUCUUGGAUCGUCGCAAGACGGACAGAAGCGAAAGCAUUUGCCAAAAAUGUUUUCAUUAAUCAAGAACGAAAGUUAGAGGUUCGAAGGCGAUCAGAUACCGCCCUAGUUCUAACCAUAAACGAUGCCAGCUAGCGAUCCGCCGAAGUUCCUCCGAUGACUCGGGCGGGCAGCUUCCGGGAAACCAAAGCUUUUGGGUUCCGGGGGAAGUAUGGUUGCAAAGCUGAAACUUAAAGGAAUUGACGGAAGGGCACCACCAGGAGUGGAGCCUGCGGCUUAAUUUGACUCAACACGGGAAACCUCACCAGGCCCAGACACCGGAAGGAUUGACAGAUUGAUAGCUCUUUCUUGAUUCGGUGGGUGGUGGUGCAUGGGCCGUUCUUAGUUGGUGGAGCGAUUUGUCUGGUUAAUUCCGAUAACGAACGAGACUCUAGCCUGCUAAAUAGGCGUACCUUAUGGUAUCGCGAAGGCCCCCGGCUUCGGCCGGUGGGUUUUUACUACCAACGUACAAACAAAUCUUCUUAGAGGGCACAGGCGG
rnacentral:rRNA from 1 species